CUACGGGGCGCAGCAGUGAGGAAUAUUGCGCAAUGGGGGAAACCCUGACGCAGCGACGCCGCGUGGAUGAUGAAGGCCUUAGGGUCGUAAAAUCCUGUCAGGUGGGAAGAAGUGGGUAUAGAUUAAUACUCUAUUUCUUUGACGGUACCACCAAAGGAAGCACCGGCUAACUCCGUGCCAGCAGCCGCGGUAAUACGGAGGGUGCAAACGUUGUUCGGAAUUACUGGGCGUAAAGCGCGCGUAGGCGGUUUGUUAAGUCAGAUGUGAAAGUCCAUGGCUCAACUAUGGAGGUGCAUUUGAAACUGGCAGACUUGAGUACUGGAGGGGGUGAUGGAAUUCCCGGUGUAGAGGUGAAAUUCGUAGAUAUCGGGAGGAAUACCGGUGGCGAAGGCGAUCACCUGGCCAGAUACUGACGCUGAGGUGCGAAAGCGUGGGGAGCAAACAGGAUUAGAUACCCUUGUAGUC
rnacentral:rRNA from 1 species